rnacentral:rRNA from 1 species
UACAGAGGGUGCAAGCGUUGUUCGGAAUUACUGGGCGUAAAGCGCGUGUAGGCGGCUUGAUAAGUCGAAUGUGAAAGCCCUUGGCUUAACCAAGGAAGUGCAUUCGAUACUGUUGAGCUUGAGUACCGGAGGGGAUGGCGGAAUUCCUGGUGUAGAGGUGAAAUUCGUAGAUAUCAGGAGGAACACCUGUGGCGAAGGCGGCCAUCUGGACGGUGACUGACGCUGAGACGCGAAAGCGUGGGGAUCAAACAGG